CCGGCACGGGUGAGUAACACGUAUCCAACCUGCCGUCUACUCUUGGACAGCCUUCUGAAAGGAAGAUUAAUACAAGAUGGCAUCAUGAGUCCGCAUGUUCACAUGAUUAAAGGUAUUCCGGUAGACGAUGGGGAUGCGUUCCAUUAGAUAGUAGGCGGGGUAACGGCCCACCUAGUCUUCGACGGAUAGGGGUUCUGAGAGGAAGGUCCCCCACAUUGGAACUGAGACACGGUCCAA
rnacentral:rRNA from 1 species